GCGGAAAAUGAGUUAUAUUAAAAAUUGCCGAGUAAUCGGCUAUGACACCAGAGGCGCUGCGAAAUAGAGAUUUCGGACCCGGGGGCGGUACCCGGCACCUCCACCAAAAAUAUUAUCGGGGGUGAAACAGGUUUGACGGGGUUUAAUAAAGGUUGUCGUUGUGUUCGGUGAGAUACCACCGUUAUCGGUUCAAGUCAAAAUAAAUGCUAACGAUAAUGAAUUAGCACCCGUUGCUUUGGCUGCUUAAUUGCAGUUGCAACAAACGCGAAUUCCUGCGGUCUUGGUUGACGGCAGGUGGGGAAGGAGCCGCCCAGCAACAGAACGGCUC
rnacentral:tmRNA from 1 species